rnacentral:rRNA from 1 species
GUGAGGAAUUUUCCGCAAUGGGCGAAAGCCUGACGGAACAAUGCCGCGUGAAGGAUGAAGGCCUAUGGGUUGUAAACUUCUUUUCUUAGACAAGAAUAUUGACGGUAUCUGAGGAAUAAGCAUCGGCUAACUCUGUGCCAGCAGCCGCGGUAAGACAGAGGAUGCAAGCGUUAUCCGGAAUGAUUGGGCGUAAAGCGUCUGUAGGUGGCUUCAAAAGUCUCCUGUCAAAGAUCAGGGCUUAACCCUGGGCCGGCAGGAGAAACUCUGAGGCUAGAGUUUGGUAGGGGCAGAGGGAAUUCCCGGUGGAGCGGUGAAAUGCGUAGAGAUCGGGAGGAACACCAAAGGCGAAAGCACUCUGCUGGGCCACAACUGACACUGAGAGACGAAAGCGAGGGGAGCAAAAGGGAUUAGAAACCCCGGUAGUCC